rnacentral:SRP_RNA from 1 species
CCGUGCUAGACGGGGAUUAGCGGUACCCUGUACCCGUGAAAUCCGCUAUAGCGGGGUUGAAUUCCUCCCCGAGGUCAAACGCUCCAGGUACGUGUGCGGCAAGCAGUGUUGAGGAUCGGGUCCCACACGGCGGAAGCCUGUGAACCCCGCCAGGUUCGGAAGGAAGCAACGGUAAGCGGUCUCUUCCGGGUGUCGUGGGGCAACCCAAUCUGAGCGAGCUACCGCGCACGCCACCGCGAGACGCGAUCGACGGGAGGUGCACGG